ensembl:lncRNA LINC00943 long intergenic non-protein coding RNA 943
AGACCACAGAGACUGAAAAUAAGAAAGGGGUGAGGCCUAAGGGACAAUCAGGAUGUUUUUCAGAGAGAAGUGUGGAUGCUGGACAGGAAGAACCACAGAUACCAGAUACGGUAUCUAAGAAUGCUAUGGAAAAACACCACCUGUCCCCUACCUUCCAGCUUUGUACUUCAGAAAAACUGACCCUUUUUUAGGCCUCGGUAGGGGGCCUCCUGGCAUAGGCUGGGCUACUCAAUAUAGUCUCCCCCUAGGCCACAGUGAUAGGGUUAGUGACGACACAUGACCCACUAGAGACAAUGACAUGCUGCAUGGCUUAUUCCUUCUUCUACUGUGACUUGUGGAAAAGGAACCCUAACCAGUUCUUGAUGGACUGAACAACAUUUAGGAGAUGGUGUUCUUGUCACCUUGUGGAGCUUAAGCAAAAAGCCACACCAUGGAAAGCAGGACUGAGAAAUGAAUGAAAAAGCAUGUUGGUGCCAUUGGUUGCACCUGAAUCCAUCUGAGCCUGAAGCCAGUCUACUCCUAGUGACUGCAUGUUUUAUAGAAUUCUUUUAAAAGAAUCCUUACUGAUAUACAUAAUGGCCAAAGAAGAGGAAGAUCAGUCUCAAUUAGUGAGAAGUCCAAAGCAAAUGGACUCUGUGGAUGGUCCCAUCAAAAUGAAGUCAAAGGUUAAGGG